rnacentral:siRNA from 1 species
GGGCCUUCCUAGAAGAACUUAUG